UGGGGAAUCUUGCGCAAUGGGCGAAAGCCUGACGCAGCCAUGCCGCGUGAAUGAUGAAGGUCUUAGGAUUGUAAAAUUCUUUCACCGGGGACGAUAAUGACGGUACCCGGAGAAGAAGCCCCGGCUAACUUCGUGCCAGCAGCCGCGGUAAUACGAAGGGGGCUAGCGUUGCUCGGAAUUACUGGGCGUAAAGGGAGCGUAGGCGGACAUUUAAGUCAGGGGUGAAAUCCCAGAGCUCAACUCUGGAACUGCCUUUGAUACUGGGUGUCUUGAGUGUGAUAGAGGUAAGUGGAACUCCGAGUGUAGAGGUGAAAUUCGUAGAUAUUCGGAAGAACACCAGUGGCGAAGGCGACUUACUGGAUCAUUACUGACGCUGAGGCUCGAAAGCGUGGGGAGCAAACAGGAUUAGAUACCCUGGUAGUCCACGCCGUAAACGAUGAUUGCUAGUUGUCGGGAUGUUUACAUCUCGGUGACGCAGCUAACGCAUUAAGC
rnacentral:rRNA from 1 species